AUUGAACGCUGGCGGCAUGCCUUACACAUGCAAAUCGAACGGUAACGGGCCUUCGGGUGCCGACGAGUGGCGUACGGGUGAGUAAUACAUCGGAACGUGCCCGAUCGUGGGGGAUAACGAGGCGAAAGCUUUGCUAAUACCGCAUACGAUCUACGGAUGAAAGCAGGGGACCGCAAGGCCUUGCGCGGACGGAGCGGCCGAUGGCAGAUGAGGUAGUUGGUGGGUUAAAAGCUUACCAAGCCGACGAUCUGUAGCUGGUCUGAGAGGAUGAUCAGCCACACUGGGACUGAGACACGGCCCAGACUCCUACGGGAGGCAGCAGUGGGGAAUGUUGGACAAUGGGCGCAAGCCUGAUCCAGCCAUGCCGCGUGCAGGAUGAAGGCCUUCGGGUUGUAAACUGAUUUUGUACGGAACGAAAAGCCUUCUUUUAAUACAGGAGGGUCAUGACGGUACCGUAAGAAUAAGCACCGGCUAACUACGUG
rnacentral:rRNA from 1 species